rnacentral:lncRNA from 1 species
GACUUUCUUCACAGAAUUGGAAAAAACUACUUUAAAGUUCAUAUAGAACCAAAAAAGAGCCCGCAUCGCCAAGUCAAUCCUAAGCCAAAAGAACAAAGCUGGAGGCAUCACACUACCUGACUUCAAACUAUACUACAAGGCUACAGUAACCAAAACAGCAUGGUACUGGUACCAAAACAGAGAUAUAGAUCAAUGGAACAGAACAGAGCCCUCAGAAAUAACGCUGCAUAUCUACAACUAUCUGAUCUUUGACAAACCUGAGAAAAACAAGCAAUGGGGAAAGGAUUCCCUAUUUAAUAAAUGGUGCUGGGAAAACUGGCUAGCCAUAUGUAGAAAGCUGAAACUGGAUCCCUACCUUACACCUUAUACAAAAAUUAAUUCAAGAUGGAUUAAAGACUUAAACGUUAGACCUAAAACCAUGAACUACUACUUGACAAAUAUAUAACAGGAAAUAUAUCAGUUAUGAUUGCUUAAUCUAAAAAUAACAGAAAUAGAAUCUAUAAACAACACUCAAUAAACUAGAUAUUGAUGGAACGUAUCUCAUAAUAAUAAGAGCUAUUUAUGACAAACCCACAG